AUUCCGCAUAAGAUCCGCAAGGAUGAAAGCCGUAAGGCGUCGAAGGAGGGGCCCGCGCCCGAUUAGCUUGUUGGCAGGGUAACGGCCUACCAAGGCUAUGAUCGGUAGCUGGUCUGAGAGGAUGGCCAGCCACACUGGAACUGAGACACGGUCCAGACUCCUACGGGAGGCAGCAGUGGGGAAUCUUGCACAAUGGGCGAAAGCCUGAUGCAGCGACGCCGCGUGGGGGAUGAAGCUUCUCGGAGUGUAAACCCCUUUCGAUCCGGACGAAUGCCCGCAAGGGAGUGACGGUACGGAUAUAAGAAGCCCCGGCUAACUACGUGCCAGCAGCCGCGGUAAGACGUAGGGGGCCAGCGUUGUUCGGAAUUACUGGGUGUAAAGGGUCAGUAGGCGGUGUGGCAAGUCGGGAGUGAAAUCUCUGGGCUCAACCCAGAGGCUGCUUCCGAAACUGCUGUGCUUGAGUGUGGGAGAGGCGCGUGGAAUUGCAGGUGUAGCGGUGAAAUGCGUAGAUAUCUGCAGGAACACCCGUGGCGAAAGCGGCGCGCUGGACCACAACUGACGCUGAAUGACGAAAGCUAGGGGAGCAAACAGGAUUAGAUACCCUGGUAGUCCUAGCCCUAAACGAUCAGGACUUGGGGUGCCACCCGUUCGGGUGUCGUCCCGGAGCUAACGCGUUAAGUCCUGCACC
rnacentral:rRNA from 1 species